GGGCUAGAAUGGAGAAUUUUUGUUCUGAAAGCUGUGAGCAAUCAGAGGCCCCAGUGUGGGGCUCGUUUCUGCACCUGGAGGGUAGCUGCACAAAAUCAUCAGGUGCAAAUUCAUCUCAGCUGGGGAGCACACCGAGAACAGUGCCUUUGCUAAUAUAUAGAGGUAAGAGACGGCUGUUCUUCUUGAUAUGAGUGUGCUAGUCUUCUCCUGACCUGCCUUGAGCUCUGCUACAUUGUUACCUGAAAUGGACCAACUGUCCCUUCAUGGCUGUGGGUGGCAUGCUCUCCUUUUGUGUUGGAGUUGCUCUGGAGUAUAUGGUGAAUGUUUGCUUCUAUACCAGACCAAAGAAUUUUGAGAUGGAGAAUAAAGAAGGUACAUGAUUUCCUUAACUGUGAUGGAUUUGCAAGACAACUUUAUUGGGUCAGAAGGAGCUGGUGGAUGCCCUUUUCCAGCAAUAGUGAUGUCUUCCUUGGGCUCGUAGAACUGUGUACAAAAUGCAUUUUCACUUCAACAUCGCUAAGGUAGGAGCUGAGAAUGGGCUGUUUUUUCUUAUUGUUUAUUCAGCCAUCUUUUGUUUCUGAAGACCAGGUUCAGGAGCAAGGUACUGUGCAGUCAGUUACUCAGUUUGCUGAUGUUUGCUCUCGCCUUCCCAUGUGACUCAUUCCAAACACAUC